rnacentral:lncRNA from 1 species
UCUCAUCUGCACGGGCCAGAGUUGACUUUAUGCCUACUCCAUGUGACCUCAGAGCCUCCAAGACUUGGCUUCUUCAUCUGGAACAUGGUGGUGGUGACCACAAGGGUCUCUUAUGCCCAUCAAAGUCUCAUGAGACAUCCGAGGGAGAUCGAUUAAACACAGAGGAGCCCCAGUCAGAGCUUCGAUGAUACCACUUCAGUCAUUCCAGGGAGGAGACUCUGCUAACUCUUGGCAGAGAAGAAAACAGCAGGGCACACUAGUGCAGAAGGAACUAAGACAGGUCCAUGGGUAGACAGGGUCUGUCUCUCAACAGAG